GAACGAACGCUGGCGGCAGGCUUAACACAUGCAAGUCGAGCGCCUCGCAAGAGGAGCGGCAGACGGGUGAGUAACGCGUGGGAAUCUACCCAUCUCUACGGAACAACUCCGGGAAACUGGAGCUAAUACCGUAUACGUCUUCGGGAGAAAGAUUUAUCGGAGAUGGAUGAGCCCGCGUUGGAUUAGCUAGUUGGUGGGGUAAUGGCCUACCAAGGCGACGAUCCAUAGCUGGUCUGAGAGGAUGAUCAGCCACACUGGGACUGAGACACGGCCCAGACUCUACGGGAGGCAGCAGUGGG
rnacentral:rRNA from 1 species